rnacentral:rRNA from 1 species
AUUGAACGCUGGCGGAAUGCUUUACACAUGCAAGUCGAACGGUAGAGGGGGCAACCCCUCGAGAGUGGCGAACGGGUGAGUAAUAUAUCGGAACGUGCCCAGUCGUGGGGGAUAACGUAGCGAAAGUUACGCUAAUACCGCAUACGAUCUACGGAUGAAAGCGGGGGAUCGCAAGACCUCGCGCGAUUGGAGCGGCCGAUAUCAGAUUAGGUAGUUGGUGGGGUAAAAGGCUCACCAAGCCAACGAUCUGUAGCUGGUCUGAGAGGACGACCAGCCACACUGGAACUGAGACACGGUCCAGACUCCUACGGGAGGCAGCAGUGGGGAAUUUUGGACAAUGGGCGCAAGCCUGAUCCAGCCAUUCCGCGUGCAGGAUG